UUCUCUCCGCUGGGCACCAGGGUGUCCGCGGCGCCGCCUGAUCCUGUUAGCGCGGUACUGUGAGUGCAGUCCGUCCUCGGCGCUGUUUUCCCUGACUUGCUGUCGACGCCAGGAAGGAAGGACGCGCGCAGGGGACCGCAGAGGGGUGGCCGUGGCUGAAGGAAGAGAGCGCCACAGCACUGAGGGUUUGGGCCUGCAGGCGCUGCAGGAGGCGCCCAGGCGGGGUCCUGUCUCUCAGCCAGCUCUGAGCGGGAGGCCUGAGCGGGAAGCAUUGGCAUCCCGGCGACUUCCCAGAGCCUGGGGUUCGGCGCUAUGGAGGAGCUCGAUGGCGAGCCAGCAGUCACUGUGAUUCCAGGCGUGAAUUCCAAGAAGAACCAAAUGUGUUUUGACUGGGGUCCAGGGGAGAUGCUGGUGUGUGAAACCUCCUUCAGCAAAAAAGAAAAAUCAGAGAUGGUGCCAAGUUGCCCCUUUAUCUAUAUCAUCCGUAAGGAUGUAGAUGUUUACUCUCAAAUCUUGAGAAAACUCUUCAAUGAAUCCCAUGGAAUCUUUUUGGGCCUCCAGAGAAUUGAUGAAGAGUUGACUGGAAAAUCCAGAAAAUCUCAAUUGGUUCGAGUGAGUAAAAACUACCGAUCAGUCAUAAGAGCAUGUAUGGAGGAAAUGCACCAGGUUGCAAUUGCUGCUAAAGAUCCAGCCAGUGGCCGCCAGUUCAGCAGCCAGGUCUCCAUUUUGUCAGCAAUGGAGCUCAUCUGGAACCUGUGUGAGAUUCUUUUUAUUGAAGUGGCCCCGGCUGGCCAUCUCCUCCUCCACCUCCUUGACUGGGUCCGGCUCCAUGUGUGCGAGGUGGACAGUUUGUCGGCGGAUGUUCUGGGCAGUGAGAAUCCAAGCAAUCAUGACAGCUUCUGGAACUUGGUGACCAUCUUGGUGCUGCAGGGCCGGCUGGAUGAGGCCCGACAGAUGCUCUCCAAGGAAGCCGACGCCAGCCCCGCCUCUGCAGGCAUAUGCCGAAUCAUGGGAGACCUGAUGAGGACAAUGCCCAUUCUCAGUCCCGGGAACACCCAGACACUGACAGAGCUGGAGCUGAAGUGGCAGCACUGGCAUGAGGAAUGUGAGCGGUAUCUCCAGGACAGCACAUUCGCCACCAACCCUCACCUGGAGUCUCUCUUGAAGAUUAUGCUGGGAGACGAAGCUGCCUUGUUAGAGCAGAAGGAACUUCUGAGUAAUUGGUAUCAUUUCCUAGUGACUCGGCUCUUGUACUCCAAUCCCACAGUAAAACCCAUUGAUCUGCACUACUACGCCCAGUCCAGCCUGGACCUGUUUCUGGGAGGUGAGAGCAGCCCAGAACCCCUGGACAACAUCCUGUUGGCAGCCUUUGAGUUUGAUAUCCAUCAAGUGAUCAAAGAGUGCAGCAUCGCCCUGAGCAACUGGUGGUUUGUGGCCCACCUGACAGACCUGCUGGACCACUGCAAGCUCCUCCAGUCACACAACCUCUAUUUCGGUUCCAACAUGAGAGAGUUCCUCCUGCUGGAGUACGCCUCUGGACUGUUCGCUCAUCCCAGCCUGUGGCAGCUGGGGGUGGAUUACUUUGAUUACUGCCCCAAGCUGGGCCGAGUCUCCCUGGAGCUGCACAUUGAGCGGAUACCUCUCAACACCGAGCAGAAAGCCCUCAAGGUGCUGCGGAUCUGUGAGCAGCGGCAGAUGACUGAACAAGUUCGCAGCAUUUGUAAGAUCUUAGCCAUGAAAGCCGUCCGCAACAAUCGCCUAGGUUCUGCCCUCUCUUGGAGCAUCCGUGCUAAGGAUGCUGCCUUUGCCACGCUUGUGUCAGACAGGUUCCUCAGGGAUUACUGUGAGCGAGGCUGCUUUUCUGAUUUGGAUCUCAUUGACAACCUGGGGCCAGCCAUGAUGCUCAGUGACCGACUGACAUUCCUGGGAAAGUAUCGCGAGUUCCACCGUAUGUACGGGGAGAAGCGUUUUGCCGACGCAGCUUCUCUCCUUCUGUCCUUGAUGACGUCCGGGAUUGCCCCUCGGUCUUUCUGGAUGACUCUGCUAACAGAUGCCCUGCCCCUUUUGGAACAAAAACAGGUGAUUUUCUCAGCAGAACAGACUUACGAGUUGAUGCAGUGUCUGGAGGACUUGACGUCAAGAAGACCUGUGCGUGGAGAAUCUGAUAUCCAGCAGCUCCAGGUCAUUUUCACUUCUGGGCUGAUGGUUCCACGUGGAGGAGGAAAUGAGGGAUUCUAGUGUUCUGAGCUCUACAUUUUGCUGUUUCCUGUUCAUCAUUUCCAGUAUGGCCCUUUGGAUGAGGACAUAGAAACCACCAAGGUGGAAAUGCUGAGACUCGCUCUGGCACGAAAUCUUGCUCGGGCAAUUAUAAGAGAAGGCUCACUGGAAGGUUCCUGAGAACUGCUUCAUUGUGGUAUCUUUGUAUGGCA